rnacentral:rRNA from 1 species
AGAGUUCGAUCCUGGCUCAGAAUGAACGCGGGCGGCGUGCUUAACACAUGCAAGUCGUACGAGAACGCUUCAGCUUGCUGAAGCAAGUAAAGUGGCGUACGGGUGAGUAACGCGUGGGUAAUCUACCUUCGAAUCGGGGAUAACGCUGCGAAAGCGGUGCUAAUACCGGAUAAUAUCUUUUGGGCCCUGGCCUUUAAGAUCAAAGGUGGCCUCUACAUGUAAGCUACCAUUUGAGGAUGAGCCCGCGUACCAUUAGCUUGUUGGUGGGGUAACGGCCUACCAAGGCCGCGAUGGUUAGCUGGUCUGAGAGGAUGAUCAGCCACACUGGAACUGACACACGGUCCAGACUCCUACGGGGGGCAGCAGUGAGGAAUUUUGCGCAAUGGGGGAAACCCUUACGCAGCAACGCCGCGUGAGUGAUGAAGGCUUUCGGGUCGUAAAACUCUGUCAAGUGGGAAGAAACUGCUUCAUGUUAAUAUCAUGUUGCACUGACGGUACCAUUGAAGGAAGCACCGGCUAACUCCGUGCCAGCAGCCGCGGUAAUACGGAGGGUGCGAGCGUUAUUCGGAAUUACUGGGCGUAAAGGGCGCGCAGGCUGUUUGGUAAGUCAGAUGUGAGAGCCCGGGGCUUAACCCCGGAAGUGCAUUUGAAACUACCAAACUUGAGUAUGGGAGAGGGAAGUGGAAUUCCUGGUGUAGAGGUGAAAUUCGUAGAUAUCAGGAGGAACAUCGGUGGCGGAGGCGACUUCCUUGACCAAUACUGACGCUGAGGCGCGAAGGCGUGGGGAGCAAACAGGAUUAGAUACCCUGGUAGUCCACGCAGUAAACGGUGAACACUAGGUGUAGCGGGUAUUGACCCCUGCUGUGCCGGAGCUAACGCAUUAAGUGUUCCGCCUGGGAAGUACGGCCGCAAGGUUAAAACUCAAAGGAAUUGACGGGGGCCUGCACAAGCGGUGGAGCAUGUGGUUUAAUUCGACGCAACGCGAAGAACCUUACCUGGGUUUGACAUCCCGAGAAGUCUUCUGAAAAGUAGAUGUGCCCUUCGGGGAGCUCGGUGACAGGUGCUGCAUGGCUGUCGUCAGCUCGUGUCGUGAGAUGUUGGGUUAAGUCCCGCAACGAGCGCAACCCUUGUCUCUAGUUACCAUCAUUCAGUUGGGGACUCUAGAGAUACUGCCCCGGUCAACGGGGAGGAAGGUGGGGAUGACGUCAAGUCCUCAUGGCCUUUAUAUCCA